rnacentral:rRNA from 1 species
CCUACGGGAGGCAGCAGUGAGGAAUAUUGGUCAAUGGGCGGAAGCCUGAACCAGCCAAGUAGCGUGCGGGAUGAAGGCCCUACGGGUCGUAAACCGCUUUUGCACGGGGAUAACACCCUCCACUUGUGGAGGUCUGCAGGUACCUCAGGAAUAAGCCACGGCUAACUACGUGCCAGCAGCCGCGGUAAUACGUAGGUGGCAAGCGUUAUCCGGAUUUAUUGGGUGUAAAGGGCGUGUAGGCGGGAAAGCAAGUCAGAUGUGAAAACUCAGGGCUCAACCCUGAGCCUGCAUUUGAAACUGUUUUUCUUGAGUGCUGGAGAGGCAAUCGGAAUUCCGUGUGUAGCGGUGAAAUGCGUAGAUAUACGGAGGAACACCAGUGGCGAAGGCGGAUUGCUGGACAGUAACUGACGCUGAGGCGCGAAAGCGUGGGGAGCAAACAGGAUUAGAUACCCGUGUAGUC